AGUGAACGCUGGCGGCGUGCAUAAUACAUGCAAGUCGAACGGAGUGGCGCACGGGUGAGUAAUGUAUAGCUAAGCUGCUAUACACUAGAGGAAAACAGUUGGUAGAGACUGCUAAUACUCUAUAGUGUAGGAUGAGGCUAUAUUGUAUCAGUUAGAUGGUAAUGUAAUGGAUAACCAAGGCUAUGACGAAUAACUGUUCUGAGAGGAUGAUCAGUCACACGGGAACUGAGGCACGGGCCAGACUCCUUCGGGAGGGAGCAGUAGUGAAUAUUGCUCAAUGGGGGAAACCCUGAAGCAGCAGCGCCGCGUGGAGGAUUAUACGUUUCGGAGCGUAAACUCCUGUUGUUAGGGAAGCGGUACCUAACGAAUAAGCACCGGCUAACUCCGUGUCAGCAGCCGCGGUAAUAC
rnacentral:rRNA from 1 species